rnacentral:lncRNA from 1 species
ACAAGCACAAAAAAUCUUUCAGGCAGGUGAAAGACGAACUAAACAAUAGGCAGGAAAUAUCCUUACGGUAGAUUUCUAGCUCUGAACAAAUUGAGAAGUUUACCUUCAAUCACUACGCCUAGGCUUCUUAAAAUGUCUUAUGAUAAAAGUUUCUGCAUACAGUGGAUAAUUUUUUCUGAUCAAACCCUUUAUACAUUUCCAGUAUGAAAAGUCAACCAGCUCUCCAUCCUUUCGGACUAUGAAUAAGCAUCGUGAUCUAUCGAAAUCAGGAUGAUAGCCAAUCUGUCAACCAGAACACAUAAAAUUGCAGCAUCGAUCAAUUUUGUCCGAGUGACAUGCAGUAUAUAGCACUUUUGGUAUUAGUAGUAAUAACAGCAUAUACUCAGCAGUAAAAAAAAACACAUGCGGCAGCACUUAUUCUUUGUUAUAAUACCAGCAAUACUAAUAGUGUAGGAGUUGUGGCAGCAACAGCUAAACAUUUUACCCAGAGACAAGGGAAGCUGUAUUUCAUUUUGUCUCAAACUAAAAUGAUACAUAAAUCAUGUCUGUUAGACCUGUUUUUAUCUCUAAAAUUCUUUGAUUGUGUUGUCACCAAGAAGAACAAGGAGAGAUAAGAAGAUCUUGAUGCGUGGUUAUAAUGAUAAUAUGCUCAGUAGCAAAUUUGACAAACAGUUAAAGUGGACCAAUAGCUGAAGAACUUCACUUGAGCAAAAACCAUAGAAUAUGUCUUCCCCAACCUAUGGUCAAAUGAGUUGAUAAUCUCUAAACUUCCACUUCAAGCUAAAGCAUGGAUUGUAGUUCCAAAAGAAAAAAAAGAAAAAUCCUUCAAGUAUCUCUUAAACAUUGGCAGAAGUGAAUGAAAUGGUAGGGGUAAAUAUCAUUUGUCAAGUCAGUGGUGGUGCAAUACGAACAGUCAGCUCAUAUCUGUAACAGAUUUUUUUCUUUUUUUGUUCGAAGCAUCUGUAUGGAAUGCUAUCAUGUAUACUUUCAACUACCAGUCACAAGAUAAAGCUAAGAAAAAGGUUUUACAGAGUCAACCCGAAAUAUUCUGGGAUAAGGUUUUAGUUUAGUUCAGUCAAGUUGUAUGCGCCCAUUGGCAUGUAAACCGGUCAACCAGGGCAUCAAAAUAUGUCCAAGAAAUUUUAACUUGAGAAUGGAAAAAGUGUUCUUCUAUUUCUGUACUCGUAUAAAAAACAACAGUGACUAGCAUGGAAGACCAGAACUAGACUUUUUCAAUAUAUCUAAUAAGUAAGGGAAGUUUUGAGAAUGAGAGAGACCGUGAUAUAAUCUACUCCACUUCCAAUUUUCUUUUCACAUUGUGGAUGAUAUGGAAGCACCCUUUCCAGGAUUGUUCGCUCAUGCUCAGGACUUAGCCUAUCCCCACUUUCAUACCUGUAAUUAGAAAGAAAAUCAGAAAAAGUGAUCUACGGCCAAAAGUAACAACAAAUAUCAUAAUUUUCUUUCACAUAUUCAUGAAGAAAGCAGGAGGUGGUAUGCAGACAACCAUAUUAUAUUGCAAUUAUUAUUUUUGAGUGAACAGAACAAUGCAAUUGGGACUGAAGAGGUUUGGUAGAUGCAGCUCACCCCCAACUUUUAAGGCAUAAGUACCGAACCUACACCGAUUUGUAUGAGAAAUAAUGUGUUUCUUGCCUGCACUGACACAGUGCUCGUUUCACCAAACAUUUCCAAACAAUUUAUACCAUAACUAAAACUUCAAAAAUGAUGUUAGCAUUGGUGCAAGAAGUUUAACAAAAAUGAUAGGAGAGCAAAAUUAUCACUAAAAACUAGACGUGGAGUAAUAGAAUGUGCGCCAAAAGUAUUACCCUAAAUUUUGUCUAGAAGCUCCAAGAACACUCUGAAAUCCGUCUGCAAUUGACACUAACAUUUCCACUCAGCUAAUGCAUCAACUUGACGAACCAGCUAAUUAACAAAAUGCAUAACAUUCAAAUGGACAGUAAAACACCAUGCUAAUCAACCACAAACAGUUAUUCCAAACAUGGAGUGUGAAAAAGGAUGGGCCUUGGAGCCGAAAUUCUCAAAUUUGCCUCGUUUCAUCUUCUCUUAACCGAUUCAAAAGACAAAAUGAAGCAUUUGAUCCUGUAAAAAGAAAGUCUGAGAACUUGAUCUCACCAAACUCAACAGAAAACAAUCUCUAUCCUUAGGCUGUGUAUGGUUUUCUAUUAUUCGAUAUUGGAAGUGCAUCUUACGGAAAACUAGUUGAAUUUGAAUAGAAUAGCAAUCCGCAUUUUGCUGGAGAACCAAACACAGCUUUACUAAAUUACCAAUGACUUCAUUCAGCAUUCUCCCUAGAAAUGCAAGCAUAGUACUGGUAACAUCGCUAAAUUCGAUUGAAAAAUGUUACAAUUUUACAAAAAAAAAAAAAAUAAAAGCA